AAGGCAACGAUGCAUAGCCGACCUGAGAGGGGUGAUCGGCCACACUGGAACUGAGACACGGUCCAGACUCCUACGGGAGGCAGCAGUAGGGAAUCUUCCGCAAUGGGCGAAAGCCUGACGGAGCAACGCCGCGUGAGUGAUGAAGGUCUUCGGAUCGUAAAACUCUGUUAUUAGGGAAGAACAUAUGUGUAAGUAACUGUGCACAUCUUGACGGUACCUAAUCAGAAAGCCACGGCUAACUACGUGCCAGCAGCCGCGGUAAUACGUAGGUGGCAAGCGUUAUCCGGAAUUAUUGGGCGUAAAGCGCGCGUAGGCGGUUUUUUAAGUCUGAUGUGAAAGCCCACGGCUCAACCGUGGAGGGUCAUUGGAAACUGGAAAACUUGAGUGCAGAAGAGGAAAGUGGAAUUCCAUGUGUAGCGGUGAAAUGCGCAGAGAUAUGGAGGAACACCAGUGGCGAAGGCGACUUUCUGGUCUGUAACUGACGCUGAUGUGCGAAAGCGUGGGGAUCAAACAGGAUUAGAUACCCUGGUAGUCCACGCCGUAAACGAUGAGUGCUAAGUGUUAGGGGGUUUCCGCCCCUUAGUGCUGCAGCUAACGCAUUAAGCACUCCGCCUGGGGAGUACGACCGCAAGGUUGAAACUCAAAGGAAUUGACGGC
rnacentral:rRNA from 1 species